AUGCCAAUGGCCCAGAGACCAACGGAGGGACUUGACACUGGUGCAUGGACACCUGGCACACAUAUGGUUUUCCUGCCCCAGCAAAACCACCUUACAGGGUUUGGUCCAAGUAGUGUGAACACAAGCAGCCACCAGUCCUGGGAAGUGAAGCUCCCUGAGAGCCCAGGAGGCACAAGCACUGAGAACACAGCAUCCACCUCUAUAUUUGUGUCAUGCUGCUGUUUACUUGCUGGGUUUUCUUCAGUCUCAGUGCCUAAACCAACUCUGUCCGGAAAGGGCUGCUUCCAUCCUGACCUUCAUCACAUUGAAACUCCUUGCUGGCUUGCAGGUGCCCACAGGCUAAUGCUCUGCAGCUGGGAAGGGCCUGGUGCUGGGGAGGGAGAUGGGAAACACCUGGGGAGCCUGGAGGAGGGGCUGGAGCCUACUCCUCACAGAUCUGGCAAGGUUGGAAGCCCAGAAGAGGGCACAUCACCCCAUCGUCACAAAAUGGUGGAAGUACAGGAGCUGUUAGCCCAGAAUGAACCAAAGGAAAUGGGAACACAGCAAAACCUUCAGUGAGUGCUUUUUCCUCAUCUGGAACCUGCUAAGGGUGAGUACUACCGAUUUGGAUUAAGUUAAUGCGAUGGAUUUAUUGCUCUGUCUGCAGCUCAUCUCAUGUAAUUCUCCCAGCCUUCAAUGGGGUUGCUGCAGGAUGUUUUAACCAGGGCUGGCACAGGUGUGGAGGAUCUGCAGGUACUCAAGUCCCCUGGGAUCUGGUAGCUGGCUGAGACAGCUGGGCUGGAGAACAGCAUUUCCUCAUAAGAAAGCACCAAGGAAAAUUAAUGUUUGCUUGACAUUCAAGCCCUGUGAUAGCCAGCUCGGCGAGAGGAAGGUCUGGAGGAGAGUCAGCAUGAGCUAGAAAAGCGCUUUGUGAGAGGGGUAUCCCAGGGAAGAAGGUGGGACAAGGGGAGCUGAAAUUCAGCUCAGAGCAGGCUGAAUCCUUCUUUGUUCCACCUCGUUGGCUUUGGGUUCAUCUCCCCAGCAAGCUAUUGCUUUCAGGCUCUUCUUGCCUGAAGAAAGCAAGUGCACAGUCUGGAUCUGUGGGUGUUUCCUUCUGCCACCUCUUUAACCCCUUGUUCUCAUUUUCUACCAUCGUGCCUGCCAAGGGGUUUUGCUCUCUGUUCCUGCCUGCUGCCUCUGGCCCUGUCCGCCCUGCACCUUUUCUUGCCUGCUUUGGGGUGACUGUCCCCUUGACUCCCAGGGCACCCAUCACACCGGGGAGCUGGCAGGGCUCUUGGAGGCAGCUGUGCAUUGUUUGCUUAUGGAAGGUAACAGGGGCACACCUCAGAGCACCAGCUGGCUUCUUUUUUCUCCCAGAGUCACGCUUCCCGUGCGUAGUAAGGGCAGCCACAACCUGGCUGAAGCCUGGAGUAGGGGAAAAGCUGCACUGGUUUUGGCUAAGACAAAUUAGCUAAAAUUAUGUCAUACCUUCGCAUCUUAUUUGAGACGAGCAGUGAUUUGCUGCUAGUUUAAACCCAGUCUCAGUUCUGUCUCGAGACACGAAGCUGCUCUUACUGGGAAAAGCCUGCAAGUGUUGUACCAAUUUAUCUAAGGUGUUGGAGUUGCUGUAAGUCAAACCUUUAUGCCUAUGCUGGAAGCAUAAAUGCUAUUAAGGAAGGACACAGUGAGGCAUGAAUAAAAAUUAGUUUGCUGCAUGAGUUCA
ensembl:lncRNA